rnacentral:rRNA from 1 species
GCACAAGCGGUGAUCAUGUUGUUUAAUUCGAUGAUACGCGAAGAACCUUACCAGGUCUUGACAUCCCUUGCAAAGCUAUGGUAGACAUAGUGGAGGUUAUCAAGGAGACAGGUGGUGCAUGGUUGUCGUCAGCUCGUGUCGUGAGAUGUUGGGUUAAGUCCCGCAACGAGCGCAACCCUUAUUGCUAGUUACCAUCAUUAAGUUGGGGACUCUAGCGAGACUGCCAGUGAUAAACUGGAGGAAGUGGGGAUGACGUCAAAUCAUCAUGCCCCUUAUGACCUGGGCUACAAACGUGAUACAAUGGCUGAAACAAAGGGCAGCGAAGCAGUGAUGUGGAGCGAAACCCAAAAAAGCAGUCUCAGUUCGGAUUGAAGUCUGCAACUCGACUUCAUGAAGUUGGAAUCGCUAGUAAUCGUAGAUCAGAACGCUACGGUGAAUACGUUCUCGGGGUUU